CUGCCUGAGGUUUCCUUGUGUCCCGGACUCUGCUGUUUUCUUUUGUCUAAUUUGUCCAUUUCUGCACUUGGCAAUUUCUUCGGGAACUAACUUGAAUCUACUUCUCCCUUGUCUGUAAUAGUCUCUUCUCUCUCUCUCUCUCUCUCUCUCUCUCUCUCUCUCUCUCUCUCUCUCUCUCUCUCUCUCUCUCUCUCACACACACACACACACACACACACAGUCUUCUUUUCUUCCUCCUAGCUAUCUCUGAUUCUUCCAGCUGGCUCUGGCCUGUCCCUGGCACCUCCCCGCUACCUACUGAUCCGACGGCGCCCAAGGCGGUAUAGGCUGGUAAGACUGCUCCCGGGAAGGAGGCUCCGGGAUGAUCCACGCGGCCGCGCCCCGCACCCACCGGCGGCGCCACGGAGACGCAGAGUUCUCCAGAUCCUCCAAGCGCCGUCGGCGCCACCACUCCAGACACUGUUCACGAGGCCUCAAAGCGUGGAGGCGGUGGCCCGGGGCCGACUCUCGGGUGACCGCCAAUUUGGUCCCAAGACACUUCAGGAUCUCGCAACGGAUGGAGGACAGCGCGGUUCCAAGAGGAACCUGUCUCUUCACCCUGCUUUGGACACUGAGCUUCGGAGGAUCUGGCUGCGAGCUGAUUCAACGCCAGGGCGCCGCCUAG
rnacentral:lncRNA from 1 species